rnacentral:rRNA from 1 species
GAACGCUGGCUACAGGCCUAACACAUGCAAGUCGAGGGGCAGCAUGGACUUAGCUUGCUAAGUCUGAUGGCGACCGGCGCACGGGUGAGUAACGCGUAUCCAACCUGCCCAUCACUUGGGGAUAACCUUGCGAAAGUAAGACUAAUACCCAAUGACGUCUCUAGAAGACAUCUGAAAGAGAUUAAAGAUUUAUCGGUGAUGGAUGGGGAUGCGUCUGAUUAGCUUGUUGGCGGGGUAACGGCCCACCAAGGCAACGAUCAGUAGGGGUUCUGAGAGGAAGGUCCCCCACAUUGGAACUGAGACACGGUCCAAACUCCUACGGGAGGCAGCAGUGAGGAAUAUUGGUCAAUGGGCGAGAGCCUGAACCAGCCAAGUAGCGUGCAGGAUGACGGCCCUAUGGGUUGUAAACUGCUUUUAUGCGGGGAUAAAGUCAACUACGUGUAGUUGUUUGCAGGUACCGCAAGAAUAAGGACCGGCUAAUUCCGUG